UAUAUAUAUAGAGAGAGAGAGUUGAGCUGGAAUACUAUCGAUAGUAAACGGGUUUCAUUGUCACAUAUUUGUUUUCGAUGAUGGAGCUUCCAAUUCGACGAUCGGUACCGUUGAAAACGAUCUAUACAACUUGAAGUAUUUAGAAAUCAAAUUUCAUACUUUUUCGAUAUUAUUCUCUUAUUCAUCAAGUGGGCGUAAAAGUAAACAGUUAAAAUAGCUCCAACUUUCUGCCCCAUAACAAUUGAUCCAGAAGACUAAUAAGUUGAAUUGGAUGAGCCUAAUAUAUUGAGUGGCGGUCUAGUCCACAAUAGACCUAACCGCAAAAGGCCCAACAACAGACCCAACAUCUAGAUGAGUUGAGCCGGGUCGAAGCCUGUGAGCACGGUGAUUGAGAUCUUAAGUGCGAUAAAUAUGCUCUUUCUAUUAGCACGUACUUUUAAAAUAAUUGAUUAGCGCUUAUAAUCCACUAUUUCUUCUUUAUUUAU
rnacentral:lncRNA from 1 species